UACAGGGGGUGCAAACGUUGCUCGGAAUCAUUGGGCGUAAAGCGCACGUAGGCGGUUCGUUAUGUCGGAUGUGAAAGCCCUUGGCUUAACCGAGGAAGUGCAUCCGAAACUGGCGAGCUAGAGUACGAAAGAGGAUCGCGGAAUUCCCGGUGUAGAGGUGAAAUUCGUAGAUAUCGGGAGGAACACCGGUGGCGAAAGCGGCGCACUGGACCACAACUGACGCUGAUGCGCGAAAGCUAGGGGAGCAAACAGG
rnacentral:rRNA from 1 species